rnacentral:rRNA from 1 species
UACGGAGGGGGUUAGCGUUGUUCGGAAUUACUGGGCGUAAAGCGCGCGUAGGCGGAUUAGAAAGUUGGGGGUGAAAUCCCGGGGCUCAACCCCGGAACUGCCUCCAAAACUACUUGUCUAGAGUUCGAGAGAGGUGAGUGGAAUUCCGAGUGUAGAGGUGAAAUUCGUAGAUAUUCGGAGGAACACCAGUGGCGAAGGCGGCUCACUGGCUCGAUACUGACGCUGAGGUGCGAAAGUGUGGGGAGCAAACAGG